GUACGCCAAAUGAAUGUGGACAGCGUAUGCCAGACUGGAGCUCAGGAGACUGGCUGCUGGGAAAAUGCGCUAAUCUAGGCACGAGUCAACUGAAGAACACAUCCAAAGGAAUUCACUGGAUUUAACCCAACUAAAGGAUCAGAGACCAUGGAGCCUCCUGUACUCAAGAGAUAGCUGCUGCUGAAGACCUGGCCCCAGGUGAAUAACAUAGGCAAAGGAACAACAAAGCCAGAAUGGGGAAGAGUGAGCAGAGCAUCCAGAAAUGGCGGUUGCCAGCAAAAUAGAACUGCUGAAAAAGGGCAUGGCAACUUGAACAGAAAAAGUAAUUAGUGCAAUUGAGGAGCUUCAAUUACAGCGUUAAACUGGAACUCAAGAACAUGAUUUUUUA
rnacentral:lncRNA from 1 species